rnacentral:tRNA from 1 species
AAAAAGUUAGUUAAAUAUAUAACAUAAAUUUGUCAAAUUUAAAUCACUAUUUAUCAUAGUACUUUUUU